rnacentral:rRNA from 1 species
UACAGAGGGGGCUAGCGUUGUUCGGAAUUACUGGGCGUAAAGGGCGCGUAGGUGGCCUGUUAAGUCGAACGUGAAAUCCCCGGGCUCAACCCGGGAACUGCGUCCGAGACUGGCAGGCUCGAAUCCGGGAGAGGGAUGUGGAAUUCCAGGUGUAGCGGUGAAAUGCGUAGAUAUCUGGAGGAACACCGGUGGCGAAGGCGGCAUCCUGGACCGGUAUUAACGCUGAGGCGCGAAAGCCAGGGGAGCAAACGGG